GAACUGCGAUAAGUAAUGUGAAUUGCAGAAUUCAGUGAAUCAUCGAGUCUUUGAACGCACAUUGCGCCCCCUGGCAUUCCGGGGGGUAUGCCUGUCCGAGCGUCAUUGCUGCCCUUCAAGCCCGGCUUGUGUGUUGGGUCGUCGUCCCCUCCGGGGGACGGGCCCGAAAGGCAGCGGCGGCACCGCGUCCGGUCCUCGAGCGUAUGGGGCUUUGUCACCCGCUCGAUAAGGACCGGCCGGGCGCCAGCCGGCGUCUCCAACCUUUUUUUCUCAGGUUGACCUCGGAUCAGGUAGGGAUACCCGCUGAACUUAAGC
rnacentral:misc_RNA from 1 species